GACGAACGCUGGCGGCGUGCUUAACACAUGCAAGUCGAGCGGUAAGGCCCUUUCGGGGGUACACGAGCGGCGAACGGGUGAGUAACACGUGGGUGACCUGCCCUCAGCUCUGGGAUAAGCCUGGGAAACCGGGUCUAAUACCGGAUAUGACUCCAUGACGCAUGUUGUGGGGUGGAAAGCCUUGUGCGGCUGAGGAUGGGCCCGCGGCCUAUCAGCUCGUUGGUGGGGUGAUGGCCUACCAAGGCGACGACGGGUAGCCGGCCUGAGAGGGCGACCGGGCCACACUGGGACUGAGACACGGCCCAGACUCCUACGGGAGGCAGCAGUGGGGAAUCUUGCGCAAUGGGCGAAAGCCUGACGCAGCGACGCCGCGUGAGGGAUGACGGCCU
rnacentral:rRNA from 1 species